GAGCGGAUGACGGGAGCUUGCUCCUUGAUUCAGCGGCGGACGGGUGAGUAAUGCCUAGGAAUCUGCCUGGUAGUGGGGGACAACGUUUCGAAAGGAACGCUAAUACCGCAUACGUCCUACGGGAGAAAGCAGGGGACCUUUGGGCCUUGCGCUAUCAGAUGAGCCUAGGUCGGAUUAGCUAGUUGGUGGGGUAAUGGCUCACCAAGGCGACGAUCCGUAACUGGUCUGAGAGGAUGAUCAGUCACACUGGAACUGAGACACGGUCCAGGCUCCUACGGGAGGCAGCAGUGGGGAAUAUUGGACAAUGGGCGAAAGCCUGAUCCAGCCAUGCCGCGUGUGUGAAGAAGGUCUUCGGAUUGUAAAUCACUUUAAGUUGGGAGGAAGGGCAGUAAGUUAAUACCUUGCUGUUUUGACGUUACCGACAGAAUAAGCACCGGCUAACUCUGUG
rnacentral:rRNA from 1 species